AACUAAAUUAGUUAUUGGUAUGAGCUUUCGUGUGCAUGCCUGUAUCUGAAGAAGUGUGCAUGCACACGAAAGCUCAUACCAUUAACUAACUUAGGUAA